rnacentral:rRNA from 1 species
CCUACGGGAGGCUGCAGUGAGGAAUAUUGGUCAAUGGACGAGAGUCUGAACCAGCCAAGUAGCGUGAAGGAUGACUGCCCUAUGGGUUGUAAACUUCUUUUAUAAGGGAAUAAAACGAGGCACGUGUGCCCUUUUGCAUGUACUUUAUGAAUAAGGAUCGGCUAACUCCGUGCCAGCAGCCGCGGUAAUACGGAGGAUCCGAGCGUUAUCCGGAUUUAUUGGGUUUAAAGGGAGCGUAGAUGGGUUGUUAAGUCAGUUGUGAAAGUGUGCGGCUCAACCGUAAAAUUGCAAUUGAUACUGGCAGUCUUGAGUACAGUUGAGGUAGGCGGAAUUCGUGGUGUAGCGGUGAAAUGCUUAGAUAUCACGAAGAACCCCGAUUGCGAAGGCAGCUUACUAACCUGUGACUGACAUUGAUGCACGAAAGUGUGGGUAUCAAACAGGAUUAGAUACCCUAGUAGUC